CUGUAAGCUGCUAGAAGGGACUUGGAGAACAAAUUUGCUGCCCAGCCUCCUGAUCCUGACCGGCUGUUGAGCAUCCUGACCAGCUUCAUACCCUGGCUAUGGAAACUGGCAUCUCUUCGCCAUGCUGCCCCGAUGAACUGCUAGGUUCAGGUGUCUCCAUUUGAUUUGGCUGAAGACGCUUUCCAAGGCUGGGACCAGCGCCUCUCCAUCGCUCUCAAGGCCCCACACGAAGGAGGUCAGUGUCAUUGCUCACCUAUGGGCAAACUGAGGCACAAGAGGGUUGCCCAUGUCACCCAGCAGGCCAGAGCUGAGCUUGGACCUAACCCAACUCCAG